AGAUAUCGAGCGGAGCGUGCCGGAGGACUUCCCAGCGUUUAGGUCUCAGAGUCCUGCUACCUACCCCGACGUAAUACACCACCCUGACGUCACCUUUCCCUGUGUGACGUGACGCAGAGCAUGAUCCUUGGGCCUCUUUGUCCCUCCUGACCAAGGUGUACGGGCAGGAUGGCCUCGCCCCUUAGGAGCAAGUCCUCCGCCCCGCGAGUGGAAAACACCCGCCACAAGGAGACAUCGACUGUCCGCGUGGAAACGUCGUCCCACCGCGAGGAAACGUCAUCCCACCGCGUGGAGACGUCCUCCCGGCAGGUUCGAACGUCUUCCCGGCAGGUGGAGACCUCCCAGCGCCACCGAGAGGGGCCCUCCCUCACCCCCUCCACGAAGCGACUCCCUCAGUUCCUCGAGGUGUCCUCCCAGCACGUGGAAACCUCCUCGCAGUGCACGGAAACGUCCUCCCGCCACGUCAGGGCGUCGUCAUCCCUGAGGGUGGAGACUACUGUGCACCGUGUGGAGAGCCCAGCCAGGCGAGACAAGCAAGCCGCUCGGCAGAGUGCCAGAAUGGCUCGAUGAAGUGCCAAAGGUCCUUAGCCAGGACUGAACAGUUGCCAGCCAGCCAGCUUCCAAGAGAGCCGAGCAUCUUUGGUUUCAUGGAAAGAACCCAUAGAUCAGUGUAAGAAACAGGCUGUGGUUUCUGGGAGCUGUUAACAUUGCAGCACCUUAGACCAUACUACUGUUGACCCCAGUGUGCUAUUAACUUGAAGCCAGCACAGAAGGUUUCAGAUUUGUAGUGCUGUAUAAACCCGGCUGAUGGACAAUGAGAUUCUUUUGAGUCUCUACACCAGUAGUAUUUGGAAGACUGGCUGAAUGUGACUCUGGGAAAGUCAGGCACCUGCUUCUGGAUCGUUGAUGCUUCAGGAAGGGCGUGGGAAGGAUCCCGGUAGAUUCCCUGUGGUCCUCGUCUUAUUUUUAUCUAGGAUUCUUCCUCCAUAUUUCACUUAUUCAUGUUCCAAAGCUGGAAUGCAGAGAGAGAGAGAGAGAGAGAGAGAAUUUAAUGAAACACCUUUGCCAUAAAUCUAUAUUAUACAUUCCACAGCUUCAAAAUGACAGUGUGCGUCAAUGAAGGUAAUUGUUGCUGUACCUGUUGCACUUUGUAAAUGUGUGUGUUACUGUUAGCCAUGCUGUGUGUCUUCCUCAUCGUUCUCUGUAGAAAAUAGAGCUGCUGUACCUGGCAUGUGUUACACAGUGUUAAAGACAGCAUGUGCAACAAUAAUAAAUGAAGAGCAAUAUUCUCCAUAUGCAGUCGAGAGAGCCUUUAAUGGCACAGUCUAAUAAUUGGAUUUAUUUAUGCUGGGUAAUAGUUGUGUCUUGCCUUGAGAUGUGCCAGCCAGGUUAGUUUAAAAAAGUAAAUAAAUACAAGUUCUUGC
ensembl:processed_transcript